AAACGCACACAACGCCACCAUAGCCGAGUUGUAUGGAACGCCUCAAGUCUCUUGCUCCACCAACGUCGCCUAUUUGAGCUUUAUUCGUUUUUAUAUUUGCCUAGAAGAUGUUCCAUGAAAAUCACAGAAGCACCGGCUGCACCGCACCGGGUUUAGGCUCGUCAAGAAGGUUGUGGCUGGAAGAUAGUG